rnacentral:snRNA from 1 species
GUGCCCUCUUCAGCAGCACAUAUACUAGAAUUGGAACGAUACAGAGAAGAUUAGCCUGGCCCCUAUGCAAGAAUGACAUGCAAAUUCAUGAAGCAUUCCAUACUUUA